rnacentral:rRNA from 1 species
GUAAUUCCGGUGAAGAUGCCGGAUACCUGCGACAGGACGGAAAGACCCCAUGGAGCUUUACUGUAGCUUGACAUUGGGUCUUGGUACUACAUGUACAGGAUAGGUGGGAGGCUUUGAAACCAGGACGCCAGGUUUGGCGGAGCCAUCCUUGGGAUACCACCCUUGUAGUACUGGGACUCUAACCAUAGGCCAUGAAUCUGGUCUUGGGACACUGUCAGGUGGGCAGUUUGACUGGGGCGGUCGCCUCCCAAAAGGUAACGGAGGCGCUCAAAGGUUCUCUCAGUACGGUCGGAAAUCGUACGUAGAGUGUAAAGGCAAAAGAGAGCUUGAUUGCAAGACAUACAGGUCGAGCAAGGAUGAAAAUCGGACUUAG